UCCUUGUUUGUGUGGCAGGAAAAGAACUACCAAAAACCUUUCCCUCUUUCUUUCUUUGCUACUGUCGACACAAACACACACACAUAGAACACAUACUAGUUUCUUCUCAAAUCAAAUUCUUGGAAAGGAGAAAUCAAAGGGAAAUUAAUAAGGGUUUAAUUAUUUGGUGGAUUUCAAGGAAUCACCAUCAUCUUCUUCAUCUUUUCUUCAAGAAUAUCAAAUUUUGGGUCUAUAGCUAAGUAGUUAAACGUAGGAUACUUGUCGUCGUGAGAUUUGAUCCUCGCCAUUGGUACUCAUAUCCUAGGUUUUGGAUAGUCGUGGAGACUAGACUGCUCAUUUUCUCGGACUACUCAUACAUUUAGCUCUUUGACCACUAAGGUAACCAACAGUAAGUCUUGGAUCAUCUAGGCAUUAUAGGGCCAUUCAUUUGACUUUGGACGUAUAAUUAGCAUUAGACAUUGGAGGACUAUUAUGUUCUUAGUUCUAAUUGUACUAGACGGUCCAAAUAUUUAUCUUGUAUUAAGUGGGCCCAAUUCCAUAUAUGGAUGACUUGUAUAUCCGUAUUCUGGGGUCCACAUUUGAACGAUUGUACUUGUAUUAGACUUGUAUUUGGUAUUAAAUGGAUGUAAUUUCUAUUA